rnacentral:rRNA from 1 species
AUGGCGCCGGAUGAGGCUGUGGCCGGCGUCGAGUGUGUCCGCCCUGCCAAAAGAAAGGCGGAGGCUUUCGCCGGAGAGGAGUGUUCGCGCGCCGCCAAGAGGCUCGACUGCUCCGAGGGAGACAAGGAUGCAGCGGCAGGGACGGUCCAACGAAAAAAGAUGUGGCGGCUGCCACUGGAGGAGAUCAAGUGGAUCCUUGCACAGCCGAACGAACCUGUUUGGGCUGAGAUCCGGGAGCUCAAGCGCGCCAACCCGUCGCUGCUGCCAUCGCAUGAGGAGGAGAAGGAUGAGGCAAUGGUGCUGCUGUACGCAUGUGCUCGCGACUGCUAUGAGGAUGAAGAGAAGUUCGCGCGAUUCCAGGCCUGGGUCCGCAGCGAGUACGCCUCCAUGGGAUUCGUGGAGGUCGACUACGACUACUUCGGUGAGAGGGCCGAGGCGACGAGGCUGAGCAAGGAAGCACGGGAGGAGGUGUUCAGAGACACGGAUCUUUCUUCAGACAGCGAGGACGACGACGAGUUGAAGCAUCUCAAGAGAACAGUUAGGAGCUGGGUCUGA